rnacentral:rRNA from 1 species
GACGAACGCUGGCGGUGUGCUUAACACAUGCAAGUCGAGCGGAAAGGCCCUUUCGGGGGUACUCGAGCGGCGAACGGGUGAGUAACAUGUGAGUAAUCUGCCUCUGGCUUUGGGAUAGCUUCGGGAAACCGAAAUUAAUACCGGAUAUGACACGGUUUCGCAUGAGAUCCGUGUGGAAAGUUUUUCGGCCAGGGAUGUGCUCGCGGCCUAUCAGCUUGUUGGUGGGGUAAUGGCCUACCAAGGCUUCGACGGGUAGCCGGCCUGAGAGGGUGACCGGCCACACUGGGACUGGGACACGGCCCAGAGUCCUGCGGGAGGCAGCAGUGGGGAAUAUUGGACAAUGGGCGGAAGCCUCAUCCAGCAACGCCGCGUGAGGGAUGACGGCCUUCGGGUUGUAAACCUCUUUCCCCACCGACGAAGCGCAAGUGACGGUAGGUGGGGAAGAGGCGAAAGUGACGGUACCUGCAGAAGAAGCACCGGCUAACUACGUGCCAG